AGCGAACGCUGGCGGCAGGCCUAACACAUGCAAGUCGAGCGGAGAGAGGUAGCUUGCUACUGACCUUAGCGGCGGACGGGUGAGUAAUGCUUAGGAAUCUGCCUAUUAGUGGGGGACAACAUCUCGAAAGGGAUGCUAAUACCGCAUACGUCCUACGGGAGAAAGCAGGGGAUCUUCGGACCUUGCGCUAAUAGAUGAGCCUAAGUCGGAUUAGCUAGUUGGUGGGGUAAAGGCCUACCAAGGCGACGAUCUGUAGCGGGUCUGAGAGGAUGAUCCGCCACACUGGGACUGAGACACGGCCCAGACUCCUACGGGAGGCAGCAGUGGGGAAUAUUGGACAAUGGGGGGAACCCUGAUCCAGCCAUGCCGCGUGUGUGAAGAAGGCCUUAUGGUUGUAAAGCACUUUAAGCGAGGAGGAGGCUACUCUAGUUAAUACCUAGGGAUAGUGGACGUUACUCGCAGAAUAAGCACCGGCUAACUCUGUGCCAGCAGCCGCCGUAA
rnacentral:rRNA from 1 species